rnacentral:lncRNA from 1 species
AGAGAAACAAUAAAGAAAAAGAAGAAAACAACACUUUGCAAAAAAAAAAAAAAAAAAACAUUUUACAGGUGAAAACGAUGGCGUCUGAGGAAAUGAAGUCAAAAGAGUACAUGAGCCAAAAGAUGCCCCGAGAAGUCUUGACUCUGAAUCAGAUUAUGAACAGUCCUGAUUAUGAAGGAACCACCAUGUUUGUCCAAAAAACAAAAAAGAACCACCAUUUCUACUCCAGGUUACUCUCAACUGUUUAGCCGCAGCAUCUCGGGAGAAUCGUCCGGAUUUGAUACCCGACCCUAUAGCGGGCCUACCUUGAGGGCCAAGAAAUCUGGAUGUGGCAAUGGCUACAGCAGCGAAAAUUACCCGCGUUACUAAACUUAUAUAUUUAAGUUUUCACCUGCAAAAUGAAGUUUUUUAAGUUCGAACUUCAAACUUAAGAUCAAUACUCUUGAAAACCAUGAUUUUUUUUUUUUUAACCAUUGGGUAACACAUUACAUCUCCACUGAUAAGGUUUCCACGAUGAAACUCUCCCUGAAACACUUGGAUCAUCGUACGGUUCUGCAUGUACGACAUUUUCGAUGGAUAAGCUCUUUUCGCAGUAGACAACCACAACAAACGGCUCUACCUACAAUACUUUGGAACCUCUGAUAAGCCUCGUAUCAUAUAAUUUGCAAGAAAUUGCAUGGUAUAGGAAUCAAACACCAAACCUAAGUGUAAAAACUUUUAAACCUUAACCAGUAAAUUACGGUCAUACCCGAUCCGACACCAUGUGGCACCUAAAGCUCAAAAACUUUCAAUCCAUCAAUAAAAUAUAUAGCGUAACACAAGUUAUAACACCAACCACUACACCACUGUCAUUUUAGCUAAACUCAUGCCCCUAAAAUAUAUAACAUAAUUUUGGCGUCUAAAGUAAUAAAGAUUUUACCUGCUUUAGCGCAGGGUCCUGAUUACGGUGCUUCCACAUGAGUCUUUAAUUUAUACUAUUCAUUUUUAUCUUAUUUGUUUUCGAUUUCCUUUUUUAGAUGGGCAGAUGGGUUGGAGUUGGACUACGUAAACGGAGAGAUGAAGACAGACCAAUUAGCUAAAGGGCCAUAUAAAUUAAGUAGUAUGUAUAUAUGAAUGGUAAAAUAAGAAUCCAAGGAUGGAUGCCUCGUGAAAAUAUUAAUAAUGAGAUUGUCUCAUUAUUAUCAAUAUCAUGCGGUUUCUUUGCAAAGCAACUAUGGAAUGAUAAUUCUACAAUAUCUCUUUACCUACUUAUAUUAUUUCAAACGAUAGUGACGUUAAAGAAAAAUUAAAGGAGGGAAAAUAUAUUUUAGCAUAAAUAAUAGUGCAAUAUUAAAAAAUAAAACUUGGGGAUAAACUUUCACAGUUUUUACACU